rnacentral:tRNA from 1 species
AGAAACUUAGGAUAAUCUACAAACCGAAGGCCUUCAAAGCCUUAAAUAAGAGUUAGACCCUCUUAGUUUCUG